AGCGAACGCUGGCGGCAGGCCUAACACAUGCAAGUCGAACGGCAGCACAGUAAGAGCUUGCUCUUACGGGUGGCGAGUGGCGGACGAGUGACGCAUACAUCGUAAUCUACUUUUUCGUGGGGGAUAACGUAGGGCAACUUACGCUACUACCUCAUACCACCUACCGGUGAAAGCAGGUGUGCUUGGGACCUUUCCCUAUUGCAUGAGCCGAUGUCGGAUUAGCUAGUUGGCGGGGUAAAGGCCCACCAAGGCGACGAUCCGUAGCUGGUCUGAGAGGAUGAUCGGCCACACUGGAACUGAGACACGGUCCAGACUCCUACGGGAGGCAGCAGUGGGGAAUAUUGGACAAUGGGCGCAAGCCUGAUCCAGCCAUACCGCGUGGGUGAAGAAGGCCUUCGGGUUGUAAAGCCCUUUUGUCGGGAAAGAAAAGCAGCAGGUUAAUACCCCGCUGUUCUGACGGUACCCAAAGAAUAAGCACCGGCUAACUUCGUG
rnacentral:rRNA from 1 species